AGAGGUAGACAUGGUUUUACCGAAAGACCAACCUUUCAUGCGUUUGUUGUAUUAGGAAAAAAAUACACACUGAUCGGGCUCUCAAAAUAUAGGGCAUUUAAUCAUAGGAAUUCUUCAUCCGAAAUUGGACUGCAUAUUUAUUGAGCAAGAAAGUAAAGGAAAACAAAUUAAAAAAAACUCCAUUCGAAGAGGGAAUAAUUAUGAAGGAUAUUCAAGGUCAUCAGACGCCAUGUCUUACAUGCAUCAUGGACCUGCUAUAGGUACAUGCAUGCAAAGACCUAUUGUGUUACAAGCUUCUGUGAAAAGCUGCCUUUGGAUUAAUGAACGGCUCAAUCAUGUCAAUGGUGUGAUACAGUUUUUUCCCCAAUAAUUUCGUUUCCACGUUUUCAACAAUCAUAAUCAGAGCUGUAUCGAUAAAUAUUUCUAUUCAGUUGUUCGUGCCUGUGUGAACACUAAGAAACUUGAUUAGAAAACCGAGAAUCGUUCUACACAUGCCAAAAGUCAAUUUUUCAUAAAUCUAGAAAAUAACUCGAAAAACUCGAAAAAAAAAAGCAGACAUGGUUUUAUCGAAUUUAAUUAGCCUCAAAGUCAUGAUAGCGUGACAAGCCCCUGUUAAAAGCUACUAUUCAAUAGACUUGAUAGAUUAACCAUCCAAUGACAAGGGAUGAAAUCUUUCAGGGGGCGUUUUCACAGUUUUGAAUUAACAUAAUCCUAGCUUUGUCAAUAAAUGUUUCUUUUCUUUACCUGUAUAAUAUGUGUUUGCGAUUUCUUCAUUGCCAACUGAACACAUAUUGAACAUCUUGAUUGGAAUUCACGAGGCUUGCAAAACUACUUAAGUCGUCAUUUUCAUAUUAUUUCAUUACUGGAGACAGAAAUAGUCCUUUUGAGAAGUCGGGAUCGGGAUCCUGUUAGAUGAAAAACUGUCAGAAUUUGUUCAUUCAAGUGUCUGGAUUUCAUUAACCAUCAUCAUGUCUGAACGCAAUGCCGUCAUCAAGAAUGCUGAUAUGUCAGAAGACAUGCAGCGAGACGCCAUCGCAUGCGCGACCGGAGCCAUGGAGAAAUUCAACGUUGAGAAAGACAUCGCUGCCCACAUCAAGAAGGAGUUCGACAAAAAAUUCAACCCGACCUGGCAUUGCAUUGUGGGUCGCAACUUCGGCAGCUACGUGACGCACGAGACCAAACAUUUCAUCUAUUUCUAUCUGGGACAAGUCGCCAUCUUGCUUUUCAAGUCUGGAUGAUUUUGUGCUGCAUUCAAACUUUCUGAGCUAAGGACAGUUACAGGUUAAAUGAAAUUCUUGCAGAUCAAGCCUAUGAAAAAUAAUGUGAUAGGCCUAACGAAGUUAUGGAAUUUCGCUCAAAUCCGUAAUAAUUAUACAACAUACCGUUUCCAUAAACGUACUGAUAUUACGAUUUCAUAAAAAUUAGUUAUAAAAUAUUAGAUUUAUGGCACAUUAGUUUAAUCUCGAAAAUAUGUUGUUAAGUAAAUUGCACAUCAUCUGAUCAUGGGAUAUGAAAGAUGUAAUCUAGUCGUAACUGAGCUCGCAAUGUCUUCUAUGUGUUAUUCAUGUAUAAAUUAAAUGUUCCAGUUAAAUGAAUAAUGAGAGUUCCCUUUCUAGCAGCUCCUCUUUACUAAAACACGAUAAAUUAUUAUUACGAUAAUAAUGAUUUUACUUCUUCCGUAUGGUGAACCAAAAUAAGUUUUACAUAAUUGAAAAACAAUUUGUGACAUAACCGACUACAUUAUCAUGUCGCCAUGACGCAUGCUGUUAUUGUACUGUUUUUUUUUAAACCAGCGAAACUUAAACCAUUAUCAUUUUUUUUUUACAUCUGAUUUGGAUGAAAUUACAAGUGCAAGUUUUGCAUCAAAUCAACUUAUUGAUGCUUUUCUGUCGGGGAUAUCAGGGCUUAGUAUGGCAACGUCUUUCUCAUAAUCUAGACUAGGCCUACUUAUUUAAUAUAGGCCAACAGUUUGCGCUACUCUUUCUCCUAACAUAAAAUAAACAUUUGAUUAUACUGAUAGUAUUUGUUAAAUCUUUAUUAUUAUUUUCAUAAAAAUUAAAAAUAAUGUGUUGAAAUCACAUGUGUCAUUCACAAGUAUACUCCGAUGUAAAGUAUUUUGAAUUCGCUCUGUGAAUUAUGCUUCGAAUACAAUCUCGAUUUGCGCGCCGAAAUUUGUUAUCGAUCGAAUUACCAAAUAUCAUGUACUGAUAAUAAUAUAUGCUUGCAAAAUUUGGUAAUAAUUAGUAACACCAAUUAAGACAUUAACAUAGUGAAUGUAUAAGUUCUUUUGAUGAUUGUUUUAAUUAAUGAGAUAUCUAGAGCAAAUUUCUAUCGGUCAGACUGAAUACUUACUUUUAUAUAUAGAAAUAAUUGACAGGAAUGAGUUAAUGUAUUACAGCAAAAAAGCGCAACUAACAAGGAUCUAUAGACAUUAUUAUUUUAUAGAUACAUCCCUAAUAUACAUGACAGUUUGAAUAUGAGUUCGUUUAAUGUCUACAACUACACAUACAUGACAUAUGCAUAUGGACUUAUAAUAAAUCAUGAAUAUGGAAAAGGAAUAUUCAUAAACUUGCAAAAGUGUAAUUAAUAAAUUCAUUAUGUUAAACUAAUAA